rnacentral:rRNA from 1 species
AUUCCAGCUCCAAUAGCGUAUACUAAAGUUGUUGCAGUUAAAAAGCUCGUAGUUGAAUUUCUGGUCGUGGCAACCGGUCCGCCCCUCACGGGGUGUGCACCAGGUUUCUGCGGCCAUCCUCGGGGAGAGCACAUCGGGCAUUCAGUUGUCUGGUGUGGGAUCCUCGUCAUUUACUGUGAGCAAAAUAGAGUGUUCAAAGCAGGCUUAGGCCGUUGAAUACAUUAGCAUGGAAUAAUAAGAUAGGACCUUGGUCUAUUUUGUUGGUUUGCAUUCCAAGGUAAUGAUUAACAGGGACAGUCAGGGGCACUCGUAUUCCGCCGAGUGAGGUGAAAUUCUCAGACCAGCGGAAGACGAACCACUGCGAAAGCAUUUGCCAGGGAUGUUUUCAUCG